rnacentral:rRNA from 1 species
GAUGAACGCUGACAGAAUGCUUAACACAUGCAAGUCAACUGUGGAGGACGGGUGAGUAACGCGUAAAGAACUUGCAUCACAGUUAGGGACAACAUUUGGAAACGAAUGCUAAUAGCUGAUACUGUGAGAGAGGUUUGCGUCACAUUAGCUAGUUGGAGAGGUAACGGCUCACCAAGGCGAGGAUGGGUAGCCGGCCUGAGAGGGUGAUCGGCCACAAGGGGACUGAGACACGGCCGUUACUCCUCCGGGAGGCAGGAGUGUGGAAUAUUGGACAAUGGACCAAAGUCUGAUCAAGCUAUUCUGUGGGAACGAUGAAUUUUUCGGAAGGAAAAGUGCUUUCAGUUGGGAAGCGGUACCAACAGAAGAAGUGACGGCUAACUACGUGCCAGCCGCCGCGGUAAUUC